GAGAUAGUGGACGGGCAGAGUACAUAGAGAACCCUACCGUGAAUGUUGUCUUAUACUGGAUGGGGUAUGGAGACUUGGUAAUUUGGUGCUCAUACCGGACGGGGUACGGGGACGGCCUACUUCACCCUCAUACCGAACGGGGUAUUGAGGUUUAAUAUCUUUAGUGCUUAUACCGGACGGGAUAUGGGGACAACCCUGUAAUUGAGAUU
rnacentral:lncRNA from 1 species